AGAGUUUGAUCCUGGCUCAGGAUGAACGCUGGCGGCGUGCCUAAUACAUGCAAGUCGAACGAAACUUCUUUAUCACCGAGUGCUUGCACUCACCGAUAAAGAGUUGAGUGGCGAACGGGUGAGUAACACGUGGGCAACCUGCCCAAAAGAGGGGGAUAACACUUGGAAACAGGUGCUAAUACCGCAUAACCAUAGUUACCGCAUGGUAACUAUGUAAAAGGUGGCUAUGCUACCGCUUUUGGAUGGGCCCGCGGCGCAUUAGCUAGUUGGUGAGGUAAAGGCUUACCAAGGCAAUGAUGCGUAGCCGAACUGAGAGGUUGAUCGGCCACAUUGGGACUGAGACACGGCCCAAACUCCUACGGGAGGCAGCAGUAGGGAAUCUUCCACAAUGGGCGGAAGCCUGAUGGAGCAACGCCGCGUGGGUGAAGAAGGUCUUCGGAUCGUAAAACCCUGUUGUUAGAGAAGAAAGUGCGUGAGAGUAACUGUUCGCGUUUCGACGGUAUCUAACCAGAAAGCCACGGCUAACUACGUGCCAGCAGCCGCGGUAAUACGUAGGUGGUAAGCGUUAUCCGGAUUUAUUGGGCGUAAAGGGAACGCAGGCGGUCUUUUAAGUCUGAUGUGAAAGCCUUCGGCUUAACCGGAGUAGUGCAUUGGAAACUGGGAGACUUGAGUGCCGGAGAGGCAAGCGGAAUUCCUAGUGUAGCGGUGAAAUGCGUAGAUAUUAGGAGGAACACCAGUGGCGAAGGCGGCUUGCUGGACGAUAACUGACGCUGAGGCGCGAAAGCGUGGGGAGCAAACAGGAUUAGAUACCCUGGUAGUCCACGCUGUAAACGAUGAAUACUAGGUGUGGGAGGACUGACCCCUUCCGUGCCGCAGUUAACACAAUAAGUAUUCCACCUGGGGAGUACGACCGCAAGGUUGAAACUCAAAGGAAUUGACGGGGGCCCGCACAAGCAGUGGAUUAUGUGGUUUAAUUCGACGCAACGCGAAGAACCUUACCAGGGUUUGACAUCCAACUAACGAAGCAGAGAUGCAUUAGGUGCCCUUCGGGGAAAGUUGAGACAGGUGGUGCAUGGUUGUCGUCAGCUCGUGUCGUGAGAUGUUGGGUUAAGUCCCGCAACGAGCGCAACCCUUGCUAUUAGUUGCUACGCAAGAGCACUCUAAUAGGACUGCCGUUGACAAAACGGAGGAAGGUGGGGACGACGUCAAAUCAUCAUGCCCCUUAUGACCUGGGCUACACACGUACUACAAUGGACGUCAACAGAGGGAAGCAAGAUAGCGAUAUGGAGCAAACCCCUAAAAACGUUCUCAGUUCAGAUUGCAGGCUGCAACCCGCCUGCGCGAAGCCGGAGUUGCUAGUAAUCGCGGAUCAGCACGCCGCGGUGAAUGCGUUCCCGGGCCUUGCACUCACCGCCCGUCA
rnacentral:rRNA from 1 species